GCCUGUGUGGCUCAGUCGGUUAAGCAUCUGACUUCAGCUCAGGUCAUGGUCUCACGGUUCGUGGGUUUGAGCCCCGCAUUGGGCU
rnacentral:tRNA from 1 species